rnacentral:rRNA from 1 species
GACGAAGGAUGCAAGCGUUGUUCGGAAUUACUGGGCGUAAAGGGCGCGUAGGCGGCCUUCUAAGUCGAACGUGAAAUCCCCGGGCUCAACCCGGGAACUGCGUCCGAUACUGGAAGGCUUGAAUCCGGGAGAGGGAUGUGGAAUUCCAGGUGUAGCGGUGAAAUGCGUAGAUAUCUGGAGGAACACCGGUGGCGAAGGCGACAUCCUGGACCGGUAUUGACGCUGAGGCGCGAAAGCCAGGGGAGCAAAGCGGG